AAGUGACCAUAGUGUGAUUGGUAUUAUUAUCCAUUGACAUAUUAAGACUUCCAGGAGAAAGCGUGAAACGACAGAACAGCUCAUCAAAUCGAGACUUCCAGGCGGAUGGUGAUAUCCUAUAUUGCUGUUUCAGACAUAUUUGAUAUCCCAGUCAAUGGAUGGGAAGAACAUAAGUUACCGUACCUAUACUGGAUUCCAAAACUUCAUAAAACGCUUACAAAGAUACACUGCUGGAUCCGAUACCAUCUG